rnacentral:rRNA from 1 species
GAUGAACGCUGGCGGCGUGCCUAAUACAUGCAAGUCGAGCGAAUGGAUUGAGAGCUUGCUCUUAUGAAGUUAGCGGCGGACGGGUGAGUAACACGUGGGUAACCUGCCCAUAAGACUGGGAUAACUCCGGGAAACCGGGGCUAAUACCGGAUAACAUUUUGAACCGCAUGGUUCGAAAUUGAAAGGCGGCUUCGGCUGUCACUUAUGGAUGGACCCGCGUCGCAUUAGCUAGUUGGUGAGGUAACGGCUCACCAAGGCAACGAUGCGUAGCCGACCUGAGAGGGUGAUCGGCCACACUGGGACUGAGACACGGCCCAGACUCCUACUGGAGGCAGCAGUAGGGAAUCUUCCGCAAUGGACGAAAGUCUGACGGAGCAACGCCGCGUGAGUGAUGAAGGCUUUCGGGUCGUAAAACUCUGUUGUUAGGGAAGAACAAGUGCUAGUUGAAUAAGCUGGCACCUUGACGGAACCUAACCAGAAAGCCACGGCUAACUACGUGCCAGCAGCCGCAGUAA